GAUGAACGCUAGCUACAGGCUUAACACAUGCAAGUCGAGGGGAAACGAUAUUGUAAGCUUGCUUCUGAUAGGCGUCGACCGGCGCACGGGUGGGUAACGCGUAUCCAAUCUGCCCAUCACUUGCGGAUUACCUUGCGAAAAUAAGAAUAAUACCCAACUACCUCUCUAGAAUACAUCUGAAUGAGUAUAAAGAUUUAUCUGUGAUGGCUGGGGAUGCGUUUGAUUAGCUUGUUGGCGGGGUACCGGCCCACCAAGGCGACGAUCAGUAGGGGUUCUGAGAGGAAGGUCCCCCACAUUGGAACUGAGACACGGUCCAAACUCCUACGGGAGGCAGCAGUGAGGAAUAUUGGUCAAUGGGCGAGAGCCUGAACCAGCCAAGUAGCGUGCAGGAUGACGGCCCUAUGGGUUGUAAACUGCUUUUAUAAGGGAAUAAAGUGGGAGUCGUAACUCCUUUUGCAUGUACCUUAUGAAUAGGGACCGGCUAAUUCCGUGCCAGCCGCCGCCGUAA
rnacentral:rRNA from 1 species